AUUGAACGCUGGCGGCAUGCCUUACACAUGCAAGUCGAACGGUAACGGGCCUUCGGGUGCCGACGAGUGGCGAACGGGUGAGUAAUGUAUCGGAACGUACCUUUCAGUGGGGGAUAACGUAGCGAAAGUUACGCUAAUACCGCAUAUUCUGUGAGCAGGAAAUCAGGGGAUCGCAAGACCUUGCGCUGAUUGAGCGGCCGAUAUCAGAUUAGCUAGUUGGUGAGGUAAAGGCUCACCAAGGCGACGAUCUGUAGCGGGUCUGAGAGGAUGAUCCGCCACACUGGAACUGAGACACGGUCCAGACUCCUACGGGAGGCAGCAGUGGGGAAUUUUGGACAAUGGGGGCAACCCUGAUCCAGCCAUGCCGCGUGAGUGAAGAAGGCCUUCGGGUUGUAAAGCUCUUUCGGCCGGGAAGAAAUCGUAUGGGUUAAUACCCUGUGCGGAUGACGGUACCGGCAUAAGAAGCACCGGCUAACUACGUGCCAGCCGCCGCGGUAAAAC
rnacentral:rRNA from 1 species